AUAUUAUAUCAUGUCAUCUAACAUUAUAUAAUUCUAAAUACUUACAAAAUCAAAUUUAAUAAAAAAACACUUUAGCAAAUCAUUUGUUAAAACAAAAUUAUAUAUAUUUAUGCUAAAUUAUUUUUUAUUACGUUAAUAUAUUAGAAGUUUCAUUCAUCUAUUAAAAUAUUAUUGAAGAUUAUUGUUUUCCUACCAUGUCAACCAAAUGCCGGGUCAUACUUGAUUGCAUGUUUUUUUGAAGUUUGCAUGCUUUAAAUUAAUGAGUUUUCAUUAAAUCUAAACCAGCUUAUGUACAAGUCAUCGUGUUUACUGGUUCGACGACGGGUCCAAACUUGAUAUAAAAAUAUUGUUCUCAUCUAAUUGAAAAUAAUUUAUUUUAAAAUAAUAGACGCACUGAGUCUGAUCAAUCCAUAUAAUAUUUUUUAAAAAAGUAAUCAAACGAUUAAAAAUAUAAUUACAUUAACUAACUAAAUAAAAAUAAUAAUUCUUUUGAUAUAAUAAAAUUUUGUAACAUAAUAAUGUAUAAUAAGACUAAAAUACUAAUUCAUAUCAUAUAUUUUUAUCAACUGAAAAAUAACCCGCGCUUUUAAGCGCGGAUCAAAAUCUAGUCUAACAUUAAAACAUAAAUGAAAAUUUGAGUGAGCUCACAAAUUUUUCAAAAAAACGUAAGGAAAUUGAAGAGAGAGAAAACCCAUUGUGGUGACAAGAAGAAGGCUUUGCUAGAGCUGUGAAAAAACUUUGUAUCAUUUAUCAAUUUAUUGGUUGUUAUUAGAACAAUCGUCUCACUAACUCCCAAUAUUUUGUUUAAUUGAGACCGGAAUAUUAUGAAUGAUUCUUUGUAAAAAAAAACAUUAUAAAUGAUUGAAGGUAUUUUUAAUUAACUGAAAACUGUUUGAAAUAGAGUUUCAUACUGUAUAACAAAAUGGUUGUCUUCUCAGAUUUAACUCCAACAUUAAAAAUAAUAAAACAUUAAAUUUGUAAUCUUGGGAAGUAAAAUAACUAGUACAAUAGAAUCCUAAUUUGGUGUUAAAAACAUGUUAAAAUAGAAUAACACGCGAAUAGAAACAUUAAAUUCACAUAUGUGCUUAUUAAACCUCUCUCUAACUUGCUCUACCUUCUCUCUACCAAAGUUUCUAAAUCAAAGAAUCUCGUCGGUGACCGGUGGUCUUUCCACCGGUUACCAUCUUUUUUAUUUUGUUUUUUGUUGUGAAUACUUUCGAUCUAUGUAUCGAACUUGCUUCGCGUAGGCGAUCUUGUUUUCGUUAGGCGAUUUUGGUGUGCUAAGCUUUAAUCAAAACAGACCCGAUUUUCACUCUUUGAAGAAAUCAAUCUUUGCUUCAUAUGGAUUUGGCAAAGUAUUCGGAUGAUUUGAAGAUUUGAGUUUUUACAAGUGAGCUUUUGGUUUGGUACAGUUUAAGAAAAGACAGAGUUUGUUCUAUAGACAAGUGUUCUGUCAAUAGCUGUGUCCUAAAUCAGAUAAUGCUUCUUGAAGAUGUUCACAUCCAGUGAAGACAGUAAGAGAGUCUCAGAGGCAACAGCGAUUGAGAGACUGAAGCAUACAAAUGGAAUCAAAGUUGGGUUCGAUCUUUGUGUUCCGGAGGAAUCGACUCGUCGGAGUUCAAGUCAGUUACCUUGCCGGAGAAGAGGCAAUCCUUUCCCAUGAGUGACACGUGGAGCCAGUUAAGAGAUGAUGGAGGCACGUAGAUGGACAACUGCCUUACUCUUGUUCAUCCUUAUCAUAUAAUUUAGGGUUUAAUUGGGCUCUGCAUUUGUAAUGGGUUUGAAUUCCAUUUGUAACAAAAAUUGCCCUUUGGGCUUUUAAUAUAAAGGUUGACAAAAAAAAAAAAAAAAGAAACAUUAAAUUCAAUCAGCAAAGUCUGACUUUUCCAGAUUUCUUGUAUCACUCACCACAUGCAGUCCUUUGUUGUGUUCGCCCUAUGGUUAUUUUUUAUUACAUAAAUGAUAAAUCUCGCAUUCAUUAAAUCUUUUUUGUUUACAGAGCAUGACUAUGUUCAAGCAAAAAGAGAAGACGUGGAGCUUCAACGAAAACGAAACGGUAUCAGCAAUGGAUAUUUUUCAGAAGGCAAAAGCUAUUCGAAUACGUAGCAGCCACAACAAGUUUCUAGCGGCGGCGGACGACGAAGAAACAGUGUUUCAGAAAAAAAAAGGGAUCAACCAAAAACGCUCAGUGGACCGUCGAACCGGUUCGCGAUUCGGAUCAUGUCAUCCGUCUUAAAAGCUGUUACGGCAAAUACUUAACCGCUUUGAACGAGCGGUUCUUACUCGGAGCUAAAGGGAAGAGAGUGAUUCAGCUAAUGCCGAUUCAACUCGAUUCAUCUGUUGAGUGGGAGCCAGUGAGAGAAGGGUCUAAGAUCUUGCUCAGGACGAGAAACGGUAAGUACCUCAGAGCUAACAGUGGACCUCCUCCGUUGAGAAAAUCCGUCACGCAUAAUAAACGUCAUUCGGCUACUCAGGAGUCGAUCUCGUGGGAGGUUGAUAUCGUCGAGAUCUUGAAGAAUCCUCUAUUCACGGAGGAGGAGAUGGAGUUUACUCCGCCGCCACAUAGGAAGCCGUCGAAAUCCCCGUUGUCAGUUUCGCAUUCCGUGACUCCACCUUUCCUCUCAGACAUGCAUGAUACAUAUCCUGAUGAGUCUCCAUCAAAAUGGGAUGGUAUGGAGUCUUCUCCAUCCUCAAAGAAGAUACCGCGGCAUAGGAAGCAGUCUUCGAAUCCGUUUUGUCAUUCAGAUUCAGAUUCUGAUGAGUCUCCAUCGAAACUGGAUGAACGAACCAUCAGUUAUCAUUUUAAUCAUCCACUCAAGGUGGAAAUGAAGUCUACUCCAUCUUCAAAGAAAACAUUACAUCCGCCACCGCAUAGGAAGCCCUCGAGUUCUCCUCAUUUGAACACUUCUUCUUCUUUUUCAGACAUAUCAAAUUCAAAUUUUGAUGAGUCUCCAUCGAAAUUAGAUGAGCAAACCACCGGAUAUCAUAUUAAGCAACCAUUCAAGGCGGAGAUGAAGUCUACUCCGUCUACGAAGAAGAUGAUGCAUGUGUCACCGCAUAGGAAACCAUUGAAUUCUCCUCAUUCGAAAACUCCAUCUUCUCUUUUUGACAAAUCAGAGUCAGAUUCUGAUGAGUCUCAAUCGAAAUCGGAUGAGCAAACUACCAAUUAUCAUAUUAAUCAUCCAUUCAAGAAGGAAAUGAAGUCUACUCCGUCUUCAAAGAAAAUGAUGCAUCAGCUGCCUCGUUGGAAGCCGUCAAAUUCCCCUCACUCGAAGACCCCAACUUCUCAUUCAGACAUAUCAAAUUCAAAUUCUGAUGAGUCUCCAGAUGAGACCGGUUAUUGUAAUAAUCAUCCAUUCAAGAUGGAAAAAAAGUCUAUUUCAUCUUCGAAGAAAACGACGCCUUUGUCGCCGCAUAGGAAGCCGACGUCAAAUUUUCAUCAUUUGAAGACUUCGUCUUAUAUUUUCGAUAGAUCAGAUUCAGAUUCUGAUGAGUUUCCAUCAAAAUUGGAUGAGCAAACCGUCGAUAAUCAUGGUAAUCAUCAUUUCAAGGCGGAGAGAAAGUUUACUUUGUCUUCAAAGAAGACGCUGCAUCCCCCACCGCAUAAGAAGCCAUUGAAUCCUUAUCUGAAGAGUCCAUCUUUUCUUUUAGACAUAGCAGAUUCAGAUUGUGAUGAGUCUCAAUCGAAGUUGGAUGGGCAAACUAUCAAGAAUCAUAAUAAGAAGCCUCCUAUGUUGUCGAAGAAGAAGCUGCAUCCGCCGCCACAUAGGAUUUUUUCAUUGCCAGUUUCAUAUACUAGCACUCGGUAUUCUCUUUCAGACAUAUCAGAUACAGAUUAUGUUGAAUCUCCACUGCAACCGGAUGGACGAACAAUCUAUUAUCGUAUAGCUGAUGAAAGACACGUGGAAGACAAAUCAACUGGUGGAUAUAUUUUCUCGUUUAAAGGAACCACCGUGGUAGAGCUUACUCAAAUGCUACGAGAAGAAACAUGCUUGGAAGAUGUUGUGGUGUGCACUCGCAGUCCCUUAAAUGGCAAGUUGCUUCCCCUUCGUUUGCAACUUCCUCCUAACAACGAAACACUGCAUGUGGUUCUAGUACCCUCCAGUGGUAGUAGCUUCUAGAGAGACGUGAGUUAAUCAAUUUUUACUUUAAGCUCUCAUAUGGAGUUACUGAAUCUUUGACUUGUUUGUUUGUUUGUUAAAUUCAUCAUUGUCAAAUGAGUGACUGGCCUUUUGUGUGGUGAAGUUUUUGGUGAAGCAUGUGAUAUGAGCCUUAUAAGAAGUUAAUAAGAUAAUAAUAAUUGGUAGUUAGUACAGAACUCAUGGUCACGGAGAUAUAAGUCGGCGUCGCUCUUGAGCAUUAAUCAAUCUUAGUACGAGAUAAAAACAUAGCAAUAGUUUUGAUAAUUGAAAAAAAUUAAUUACAUUUUGGGGACAUAGUACAAGUUGUUUAAUCAUCUAAAAUUGUUCACUAAACCACUAUGAAAACGACUUUAAUCUUGUGAAAACAAGUGUAAUCUGAGAGCAUGAAUGGUCUCAUUCCCUUUGCCUCUUUUAGAGAAGGUACUUCAAAUGUUGAUCAAAAUGACAGGUACUUCAUGAUUCAAUCAUUAUCUUUAGUUUACUUCACUUGGUUAUGACUUAGUAGAUUCUACCGGAGAAUCAAGAACAAGACUAUGUUUAUGGUAUGCUUGCAUUCCCCUUAUUGGAGAUUGGUCAUCUAACGGAACCUGAGAAAGCUGCUAGGAAAGGGAAUGAGAUCAACAAAACAACUUUUGGGCUCAUCAAUGCGUGAGUUUCAAACGUUUAUUAUCCUUAUCUUUUUGUUGUUACGUGGUUUGCAAGCUUUCAUUUUUGUGUGUUUUGGGAUGUUGUGUCAUGUUCUUCAAACUGAAUGUCGGUUCAACAAUGCAGUAAAAUUCAUGGAAGGAUGGUCAGCUUCA